rnacentral:rRNA from 1 species
CAGUCGCCACGGUAAAACGGAGGGGGCUAGCGUUGUUCGGAAUUACUGGGCGUAAAGCGCACGUAGGCGGCUUGGUAAGUUAGAGGUGAAAGCCCGGAGCUCAACUCCGGAAUUGCCUUUAAGACUGCCGAGCUAGCAGGUGAGAGAGGUAAGUGGAAUUCCGAGUGUAGAGGUGAAAUUCGUAGAUAUUCGGAAGGACACCAGUGGCGAAGGCGGCUUACUGGCUCAUACUGGACGCUGAGGUGCGAAAGCGUGGGGAGCAAACAGGAUUAGAUACCCCCGUAGUCCCUGUCUCUUAUAC